rnacentral:rRNA from 1 species
GAUGAACGCUGGCGGCGUGCCUAACACAUGCAAGUCGAGCGAGAUAAAUGUGAGUGGAGACUUCGGUCAAAGCAAUCAUUUUGAAAGCGGCGGACGGGUGAGUAACGCGUGAGCAAUCUGCCCCAUACAAAGGGAUACCCACUGGAAACGGUGAUUAAUACCUUAUAAGACCACGAAGUCGCCUGGCUUAGUGGCCAAAGAUUUAUCGGUGUGGGAUGAGCUCGCGUCUGAUUAGCUAGUUGGUGAGGUAAUGGCUCACCAAGGCGACGAUCAGUAGCCGACCUGAGAGGGUGGACGGCCACACUGGAACUGAGACACGGUCCAGACUCCUAAGGGAGGCAGCAGUGGGGAAUAUUGCACAAUGGGCGCAAGCCUGAUGCAGCAACGCCGCGUGAAUGAUGAAGGCCUUCGGGUCGUAAAGUUCUGUCCUAAGGGAAGAAUACAGUGACGGUACCUUAGGAGGAAGCCCCGGCUAACUACGUGCCAGCCGCCGCCGUAA